rnacentral:rRNA from 2 species
GCCGUUGGCGGCGUGCUAUACAUGCAAGUCGAGCGGAUUGAUGGGAGCUUGCUCCCUGAUAUCAGCGGCGGACGGGUGAGUAACACGUGGGCAACCUGCCUGUAAGACUGGGAUAACUCCGGGAAACCGGGGCUAAUACCGGAUAAUUCCUUCCUCCUCCUGGAGGAAGGCUGAAAGAUGGUUUCGGCUAUCACUUACAGAUGGGCCCGCGGCGCAUUAGCUAGUUGGUGAGGUAACGGCUCACCAAGGCCACGAUGCGUAGCCGACCUGAGAGGGUGAUCGGCCACACUGGGACUGAGACACGGCCCAGACUCCUACGGGAGGCAGCAGUAGGGAAUCUUCCGCAAUGGACGAAAGUCUGACGGAGCAACGCCGCGUGAGUGAAGAAGGUUUUCGGAUCGUAAAACUCUGUUGUUAGGGAAGAACAAGUGCGAGAGUAACUGCUCGCACCUUGACGGUACCUAACCAGAAAGCCACGGCUAACUACGUGCCAGCAGCCGCGGUAAUACGUAGGUGGCAAGCGUUGUCCGGAAUUAUUGGGCGUAAAGCGCGCGCAGGCGGUUCCUUAAGUCUGAUGUGAAAGCCCACGGCUCAACCGUGGAGGGUCAUUGGAAACUGGGGAACUUGAGUGCAGAAGAGAAGAGCGGAAUUCCACGUGUAGCGGUGAAAUGCGUAGAGAUGUGGAGGAACACCAGUGGCGAAGGCGGCUCUUUGGUCUGUAACUGACGCUGAGGCGCGAAAGCGUGGGGAGCAAACAGGAUUAGAUACCCUGGUAGUCCACGCCGUAAACGAUGAGUGCUAAGUGUUAGAGGGUUUCCGCCCUUUAGUGCUGCAGCUAACGCAUUAAGCACUCCGCCUGGGGAGUACGGCCGCAAGGCUGAAACUCAAAGGAAUUGACGGGGCCCGCACAAGCGGUGAGCAUGUGGUUUAAUUCGAAGCAACGCGAAGAACCUUACCAGUCUUGACAUCUCUGACAACCUAGAGAUAGGGCGUUCCCCUCGGGACAGAUGACAGUGUGCAUGAUGUCGUCAGCUCUGUCGUGAGAUGUGGUAGUCCCGCACGAGCGCAACCUUGA